UACGGGGGGGGCAAGCGUUGUUCGGAAUUACUGGGCGUAAAGGGCUCGUAGGCGGCCAACUAAGUCAGACGUGAAAUCCCUCGGCUUAACCGGGGAACUGCGUCUGAUACUGGAUGGCUUGAGUUUGGGAGAGGGAUGCGGAAUUCCAGGUGUAGCGGUGAAAUGCGUAGAUAUCGGGAGGAACGCCAGUGGCGAAGGCGGCUUCCUGGCCUGUUCUUGACGCUGAGGCGCGAAAGCUAGGGGAGCAAACGGGG
rnacentral:rRNA from 1 species